CACGUAGGGGACGAGCGUUGUCCGGAUUCAUUGGGCGUAAAGCGCGCGUAGGCGGCUCGGAAAGUCGGUCGUGAAAUGCCGGGGCUCAACCCCGGGACUGCGUCCGAUACUCCCGAGCUGGAGGCAGGUAGAGGAGUGUGGAAUUCCUGGUGGAGCGGUGAAAUGCGCAGAGAUCAGGAGGAACACCCGUAGCGAAGGCGGCACUCUGGGCCGAUACUGACACUGAGGAGCGAAAGCGUGGGGAGCGAACAGG
rnacentral:rRNA from 1 species